AGAAUCAACGCUGGCGGCGUGCCUAACACAUGCAAGUCGAACGAGAAAGUGGUAGCAAUACCAUGAGUAAAGUGGCGCACGGGUGAGUAACACGUGACUAACCUACCCUUGAGUGGGGGAUAACUGAGGGAAACCUUAGCUAAUACCGCAUAAUACCCAUGGGUCAAAGGAGCAAUUCGCUCGAGGAGGGGGUCGCGGCCGAUUAGUUAGUUGGCGGGGUAAUGGCCCACCAAGACGAUGAUCGGUAUCCGGCCUGAGAGGGCGCACGGACACACUGGAACUGAAACACGGUCCAGACUCCUACGGGAGGCAGCAGUGGGGAAUUUGCGCAAUGGGGGAAACCCUGACGCAGCAACGCCGCGUGGAGGAUGAAGUCCUUCGGGACGUAAACUCCUUUCGAUCGGACGAUUAUGACGGUACCGGAAGAAGAAGCCCGGCUAACUUCGCGCCAGCAGCCGC
rnacentral:rRNA from 1 species